rnacentral:rRNA from 1 species
GCGAGCUCGGGGACGGCAGCCGCGGUAAUACGGAGGGGGCGGGCGGUAAGCGGAAGUACUGGGCGGAAAGUGUGCGGAGGCGGGCGGGCAAGUCGAGUGUGAAAGCCCCGGGCUUAACUUGGGAAUUGCGCUCGAAACUACUUGGCUGGAGUGUGGCAGAGGAAGGUGGAAUUCCACGUGUAGCGGUGAAAUGCGUAGAGAUGUGGAGGAACACCAAUGGCGAAGGCAGCCUUCUGGGCCAACACUGACGCUCAUGCACGAAAGCGUGGGGAGCAAACAGGAUUAGAUACCCCAGUAGUC